AUGAGUACAUUGGCAUUAUGUCAUGUAUUCCCCUGCUGCCCUGCUCGAAUGCUGCAUCGGCCAGAAAUAUCUCGGUCUCACAUGUUGACACUGGAAAUGUGUAAUUUGGCAGUCAGUUCGUGCCUUCAUGGGAUCCUGACGUCUGAGAUAUCCAAAUGCAACUCCAGUGAAACACACGAGUCUACGGUUCACACACUAUACACCAGCAUCAGCAUACAUGCAGAUUUUAUCUCGAAGUUCAGAAAAAGGAAAAAAGAAAAAAAAACUGUACAAAUAUCUCUCGCGGUGUUGCCUAUGUGA
rnacentral:rRNA from 1 species